GUGGGGAAUCUUGCGCAAUGGGCGAAAGCCUGACGCAGCCAUGCCGCGUGAAUGAUGAAGGUCUUAGGAUUGUAAAAUUCUUUCACCGGGGACGAUAAUGACGGUACCCGGAGAAGAAGCUCCGGCUAACUUCGUGCCAGCAGCCGCGGUAAUACGAAGGGGGCUAGCGUUGCUCGGAAUUACUGGGCGUAAAGGGCGCGUAGGCGGACAGCUUAGUCAGAGGUGAAAGCCCAGGGCUCAACCUUGGAAUUGCCUUUGAUACUGGCUGUCUUGAGUUUGGGAGAGGUGAGUGGAACUCCGGGUGUAGAGGUGAAAUUCGUAGAUAUUCGGAAGAACACCAGUGGCGAAGGCGACUCACUGGCCCAAUACUGACGCUGAGGCGCGAAAGCGUGGGGAGCAAACAGGAUUAGAUACCCGUGUAGUCC
rnacentral:rRNA from 1 species